GCUGGGCGUGGUGGCUCACGCCUGUAAUCCCAGCACUUUGGGAGGCCGAGGCGGGUGGAUCACCUGAGGUCAGGAGUUCGAGACCAGCCUGACCAACAUGGUGAAACCUCAUCUCUACUAAAAAUACAAAAAUUAGCCAGGCGUGGUGGAAGACGCCUGUAAUCCCAGCACUUUGGGAGGCCGAGGUGGGUGGAUCACUUGAGGUCAGGAGUUCGAGACCAGCCUGACCAACAUGGUGAAACCCCAUCUCU
rnacentral:sRNA from 1 species